GAUCAUUAUUGAAAUAAACUUGAUGGGUUGCUGCUGGUUCUCUAGGGAGCAUGUGCACGCUUGUCGUCUUUAUAUCUCCACCUGUGCACCUUUUGUAGACCUGGAUGUCUCUCUGAGUGCUAGUCACUCAGGUUUGAGGAUUGACUUCAUGUCUCUCCUUACAUUUUCAGGCCUAUGUUUCUUCAUAUACCCCAAUGUAUGUCAUAGAAUGUAAUCAAUGGGCCUUUGUGCCUAUAAAUCUAUACAACUUUCAGCAACGGAUCUCUUGGCUCUCGCAUCGAUGAAGAACGCAGCGAAAUGCGAUAAGUAAUGUGAAUUGCAGAAUUCAGUGAAUCAUCGAAUCUUUGAACGCACCUUGCGCUCCUUGGUAUUCCGAGGAGCAUGCCUGUUUGAGUGUCAUUAAUAUAUCAACCUCUUCAGCUUUUGCUUGUUGAGUGUUGGAUGUGGGGGGGUUCAUUUGCUGGCCUUUAGCAAGGUCAGCUCCCCUGAAAUGCAUUAGCGGAACAAUUUGCAGACCGUUCAUUGGUGUGAUAACUAUCUACGCUAUUGACGUGAAGCAGUUCAGCUUCUAACUGUCUAUUGACUUGGACAACUUUUCAUUAAUGUGACCUCAAAUCAUGUAGG
rnacentral:rRNA from 1 species